ACAGUCACACAUUAGAUACCCCUGUAGUCCUAGCCGUAAACGAUACUCGCUAGGUGUCGGCCACGGUGCGACCGUUGUCGGUGCCGUAGGGAAGCCGUGAAGCGAGCCACCUGGGAAGUACGGCCGCAAGGCUGAAACUUAAAGGAAUUGGCGGGGGAGCACCACAACGGGUGGAGCUUGCGGUUUAAUUGGAUUCAACGCCGGAAAUCUUACCGGGACCGACAGCAACAUGAGGGCCAGGCUGAAGACUUUGCCGGGUUAGCUG
rnacentral:rRNA from 1 species